CUUUAUUGGAGAGUUUGAUCCUGGCUCAGGAUGAACGCUGGCGGCGUGCCUAAUACAUGCAAGUCGAGCGAAUUGAUUGAGAGCUUGCUCUUAUGAAGUUAGCGGCGGACGGGUGAGUAACACGUGGGUAACCUGCCCAUAAGACUGGGAUAACUCCGGGAAACCGGGGCUAAUACCGGAUAACAUUUUGAACUGCAUGGUUCGAAAUUGAAAGGCGGCUUCGGCUGUCACUUAUGGAUGGACCCGCGUCGCAUUAGCUA
rnacentral:rRNA from 1 species